rnacentral:rRNA from 1 species
CAAUCUGCCUUGUACUGGGGGAUAGCCUUUAGAAAUGAAGAUUAACACCCCAUAAUAUAUUUAGAUCGCAUGAUUUUUAUAUUAAAGGUUACGGUACAAGAUGAGUAUGCGUCCUAUUAGCUAGUUGGUAUGGUAACGGCAUACCAAGGCGACGAUAGGUAGGGGCCCUGAGAGGGGGAUCCCCCACACUGGUACUGAGACACGGACCAGACUCCUACGGGAGGCAGCAGUGAGGAAUAUUGGACAAUGGGGGGAACCCUGAUCCAGCCAUGCCGCGUGCAGGAAGACUGCCCUAUGGUUGUAAACUGCUUUUGUACGGGAAGAAACACCGCUACGUGUAGCGCUUGACGGUACCGUAAGAAUAAGCAUCGGCUAACUCCGUGCCAGCAGCCGCGGUAAUACGGAGGAUGCAAGCGUUAUCCGGAAUCAUUGGGUUUAAAGGGUCCGUAGUGGGCCGGUCAGUCAGAGGUGAAAUCCUGCAGCUCAACUGUAGAACUGCCUUUGAUACUGCCGGUCUUGAAUCGUUGUGAAGUGGUUAGAAUAUGUAGUGUAGCGGUGAAAUGCAUAGAUAUUACAUAGAAUACCGAUUGCGAAGCAGAUCACUAACAACGCAUUGACACUGAUGGACGAAAGCGUAGGUAGCGAACGGGAUUAGAUACCCCGGUAGUCUACGCCGUAAACGAUGGAUACUAGCUGUGCGGAUUUAUCUGCGUGGCUAAGCGAAAGUGAUAAGUAUCCCACCUGGGGAGUACGUUCGCAAGAAUGAAACUCAAAGGAAUUGACGGGGG